rnacentral:rRNA from 1 species
UACGGAGGGUGCGAGCGUUGUCCGGAAUCACUGGGCGUAAAGGGCGCGUAGGCGGCGCGGGGAGUCAACGGUGAAAGCUCGGCGCUCAACGCCGAGUCGGCCGUCGAUACUCCCGUGCUCGAGCACUGUAGAAGCAGGUGGAAUUCCGGGUGUAGCGGUGGAAUGCGUAGAGAUCCGGAAGAACACCGGUGGCGAAGGCGGCCUGCUGGGCAGUAGCUGACGCUGAGGCGCGACAGCGUGGGGAGCAAACAGG